UACGGAGGAUGCGAGCGUUAUCCGGAUUUAUUGGGUCUAAAGGGUGCGUAGGCGGGCUUUUAAGUCAGCGGUAAAAAUUCGGGGCUCAACCCCGUCCGGCCGUUGAAACUGGGGGUCUUGAGUGGGCGAGAAGAAGGCGGAAUGCGUGGUGUAGCGGUGAAAUGCAUAGAUAUCACGCAGAACCCCGAUUGCGAAGGCAGCCUUCCGGCGCCCUACUGACGCUGAGGCACGAAAGUGCGGGGAUCGAACAGG
rnacentral:rRNA from 1 species